GCCAGUCCACUUCCUCUUUAUGGCCCCAAUUCAGCAAAGCAUUUCAGCACAUGAUUAAACCCAUGUUUUUUCAGUAAAGCACUUCAGCAGGAGCUUAAAAUUGAGUACAUACUUGUGUGCCCUUGUAAGCUUAACCAUGACCUGCAGCCAUCUGCAGGGAACUUGGAGAGAGGCGCACAGGUUGCAGGAGAGAAGGGUUUGGAGGAGGCACCACAAAGCCAAUUUGUAUUCCCCUGGUUUAAAUACUAGCUGCAGUUGCAGCAUGCCUGUAACUAGUUCCCUUAAUAAAGAGCCAGUUUGAUGUUAGAAACGUGGAGUCAUUUCAUGUUUUUACUUAGCACAUCGUACAUGAAACAGGGCCUAAAGUGAAACUUUUUGUAAGUGGUUUGCUGAACAGGGAUGGACUGCUGAAUCUGAGCCUACACGCUUCCAGUGCCCCUCCAUGCCACAUUACUGAGAACCUGCCAGGACUGUCAACUUUCAGAUCCUAUUUCAGUUGCAUUGAGAGAAACUGUUAACUUACCUUUUUAAAGGUGAAAAGAUGUGUUGCACACAAGAACAUAACUAUUCUGAAUUUGAAAGGCCACCUCUUGCCUCAGGAACAUAAUGAAGUAUAAUGAUGACCAGCUGCACCAUCAGUUAAUAUUUAUCACAAGAUACCACCAGCUGCCACUACUAAGGCGGUCACAAUGCCUACAAGAGAUCAGCUCCUAGAAGAACAGCAGCUGGCUCAAACUUACCCUGCCAAUCUUAAUCCAAACUCAGUUUUAAGCUUGUAAUACUUGGCAGAAAGUAACUAUUUUUCAUGCAUGGUGAUGUGAUUGACACACUGACUGCUGCUCUGAUGACACCUUCUUCAUGCACUGUGUUCACCCAAGAGAGCAGCCUUGUCGCUUCUAGAAGGGACAACCCAUGCACCUGCACCCGCUCUCUACCACCUCGUCCUCUUUAUUCUCCAGAAAAUUCUAGGCAUAGGCAGGAGUCCAAACAAACUCAAUGAGGUUGACAAUAGGAAUUGCCUAUGGGUUUGAUUCUUACUUGGGUCAACUCUCCUCCCCGCACGUUGGGCCAAUGUAUGAAGGAAUUCUCGCCAUGGCACCAAUGUGGGGGGAGGAGUGAUGAGCACACUCACAAUUGAUGCAGUCACAUUCAUGGGCUAGGAUUGGGACGAGGGAGUAGAGAGGUCUUAUAUGCCUAUUGCCUAUGUAUGGACUACAGUAAUAGCAGAAAGAAAUGUUGGCAUCACAGCAUACCAACACAGAAUGUUGGUAUUAUCCGUGAAAGUAGACAUGGGCUAAUUAUUAAUCCAAUAUUGGCCCCUAAAUGCAAAUUUAUGUUAAAGUAUAAAACUGAUUUUGUUAUUAAAAUAAUGGCCCUCUAUGUUUUGUUGUUGUCCCCUUGAUCCCUCUUCUGUUCUGGGCUGCUACUACCAGAAGGUAUGCAUCAACAUUUCUUAAUGUGGCCAUCUUAGACAAAAGAUUUCACACACACUGCUAAGCAUAUUGGAUAGUUUGCAAGAGACCUAGUUAUGUGGUGAGAGGAUGGGUAGUGAAAGAGCAAAGUUGCCUUCUUUGUCAUUGGUGACGGGAACAACAUAGUCAAAACAAUUAAUGAAGGGAAGUAGCAUGUGACAGUGUUGGUUAUUUUGUUUGACCCUUCAAAGUCCUGGGUAUUGACCUGUAAUAUUUAGCCAGACCCUGAAACUGCAGAAAUUAUUGCAACCAUAUAUAGCACCAGAGUCACUGAAUGCUCAUUUCCAUUACCCAGGUAAGCAGCUUGGUUGCUACUAAUUAAGCCAGACUGGAGCCAACUAGUCAACUGAUAGAUCUAAGGGCAGCAAGGAUGGCACAUGCUGAUUGUCCUCCCUUACCUGCUGUGUAAAUGAAAGUGUUGCUGUUUUCCAGGAGUACUUGCAAACCUUUAAUCUUGAAAACAAAUCUUGAGAAGAAGCUCAGUCCCCAGGUGGCUUUCUGGCUCCACCUUUCUCCAACACUGCCUCUCCUCUUAUAUCCUCCCCGGC